GACGAACGCUGGCAGCGUGCUUAACACAUGCAAGUCGAGCGGAAAGGCCACUUCGGUGGUACUCGAGCGGCGAACGGGUGAGUAACACGUGAGUAACCUGCCCCUGGCUUUGGGAUAGCCACCGGAAACGGUGAUUAAUACCGGAUACGACCACUUCUCGCAUGGGAUGGUGGUGGAAAGUUUUUUCGGCCAGGGAUGUGCUCGCGGUCCUAUCAGCUUGAUGGUGAGGUAAUGGCUCACCCUGGCUUCGACGGGUAGCCGGCCUGAGCGGGUGACGGGUCGCACUGGGACUGAGAGACGGCCCAGACUCCUACGGGAGGCAGCAGUGGGGAAUACUGGACAAUGGGCGGAAGCCUGAUCCAGCAACGCCGCGUGAGGGAUGACGGCCUUCGGGUUGUAAACCUCUUUCAGCAGGGACGAAGCGCAAGUGACGGUACCUGCAGAAGAAGCACCGGCCAACUACGUGCCAGCCGCCGCUGUAA
rnacentral:rRNA from 1 species